GUUUUGAUUAACCCUUUAAUUGCCGAAUCCUUAAAACCAGACUGCCAUAGAGUUACUGUAAAUGCAUGUGCUCGCUGGGCACAGUUUUCCUGAUGCCACCGGGGCGGCGUUUGCACUGAUGGCUUGAGCCCGCCAUCGCUGCUUGCAGCUAUAUUUAGGGCCCGAGCACCGAUGGUGCGUAGGCACCUAUUGAAACCGUUGGCGUUAUUAUUAGGGGCCAAGCACCGAAGGUGCGUAGGCACCUAUUGUAUCCGUUGGCGUUAUUCUUCUUCUUCUUCUUCUUCUUCUUCUUCUUCUUCUUCUUCUUCUUCUUCUUCUUCCGCCGCAAGUCUAUGGCAGCCCAUAGAACCGAUUGCGGGAAAGUUGUAUAAUUUGGCACACUGGUAGAGGACAGUCCCA
ensembl:lncRNA